rnacentral:rRNA from 1 species
GACGAACGCUGGCGGCGUGCUUAACACAUGCAAGUCGAACGGAAAGGCCCUGCUUUUGUGGGGUGCUCGAGUGGCGAACGGGUGAGUAACACGUGAGUAACCUGCCCUUGACUUUGGGAUAACUUCAGGAGACUGGGGCUAAUACCGGAUAGGAGCUCCUGCUGCAUGGUGGGGGUUGGAAAGUUUCGGCGGUUGGGGAUGGACUCGCGGCUUAUCAGCUUGUUGGUGGGGUAGUGGCUUACCAAGGCUUUGACGGGUAGCCGGCCUGAGAGGGUGACCGGCCACAUUGGGACUGAGAUACGGCCCAGACUCCUACAGGAGGCAGCAGUGGGGAAUAUUGCACAAUGGGCGGAAGCCUGAUGCAGCAACGCCGCGUGCGGGAUGACGGCCUUCGGGUUGUAAACCGCUUUCGCCUGUGACGAAGCGUGAGUGACGGUAAUGGGUAAAGAAGCACCGGCUAACUACGUG